UACGGGGGGGGCAAGCGUUGUUCGGAAUUACUGGGCGUAAAGGGCUCGUAGGCGGCCAACUAAGUCAGACGUGAAAUCCCCAGGCUCAACCUGGGAACUGCGUCUGAUACUGGAUGGCUUGAAUCCGGGAGAGGGAUGCAGAAUUCCAGGUGUAGCGGUGAAAUGCGUAGAUAUCUGGAGGAACACCGGUGGCGAAGGCGGCAUCCUGGACCGAAAUUGACGCUGAGGCGCGAAAGCCAGGGGAGCAAACAGG
rnacentral:rRNA from 1 species